rnacentral:rRNA from 1 species
UACGUAGGGUGCAAGCGUUGUCCGGAAUUAUUGGGCGUAAAGAGCUCGUAGGCGGUUCGUCGCGUCGGCUGUGAAAUCCCGAGGCUCAACCUCGGGUCUGCAGUCGAUACGGGCGGACUGGAGUUCGGCAGGGGAGACUGGAAUUCCGUGGUGUAGCGGUGAAAUGCGCGGAUAAUCAGGAGGAACACCGGUGGCGGAAGGCGGGUCGUGCUGGGCCGAUACUGACGCUGAGGAGCGAAAGACGUGGGGAGCGAACAGG